AAUUUGCUGUGGACAUAUGAAGUGGAUGUGACUGUCAAAACCACCUGCCGUCAAUAUGCGCCCUUCGCCUGCGAUAAUUUCCGUACCUGGCCCGAUUACGAUAUUAAUAUUGGGUUGCGUGUCAGGAUUACCCGCUUUUCCGAUCGCCUCAAUGUAACCAUCUCGUAUCGAGACAUCGGCUUUGUAAAUACCAGUAUAAUCCAAAAUAAGAGCAUUGGUAAUAACGGUAUCAGGUGCACCUGCAGCGCGCGCGUUUUGCGAUUGGCCCAUGCCGUCACG
rnacentral:sRNA from 1 species